rnacentral:rRNA from 1 species
UACGUAGGGUGCGAGCGUUAAUCGGAAUUACUGGGCGUAAAGCGUGCGCAGGCGGUCCUUUAAGUCUGAUGUGAAAGCCCACGGCUCAACCGUGGAGGGUCAUUGGAAACUGGGGGACUUGAGUGCAGGAGAGAAGAGUGGAAUUCCACGUGUAGCGGUGAAAUGCGUAGAUAUCUGGAGGAACACCGGUGGCGAAGGCGAACAUCCUGGACCGGUAUUGACGCUGAGGCGCGAAAGCCAGGGGAGCAAACGGG